rnacentral:rRNA from 1 species
CCUACGGGAGGCAGCAGUAGGGAAUCUUCCACAAUGAGCGAAAGCCUGAUGGAGCAACGCCGCGUGCGUGAAGAAGGUCUUCGGAUCGUAAAACGCUGUUGUUAGAGAAGAAAAUGCGUGAGAGUAACUGUUUACGUUUCGACGGUAUCUAACCAGAAAGCGACGGCUAACUACGUGCCAGCAGCCGCGGUAAUACGUAGGUGGCAAGCGUUAUCCGGAUUUAUUGGGCGUAAAGGGAACGGAGGCGGGUUUUUAAGUCUGGUGUUAAAUCCCUCGGCUUAACCGGAGUAGCGCUUUGGAAACUAGGAGACUAGAGUUCAGAAGAGGUGAGUGGAACUCCAUGUGUAGCGGUGAAAUGCGUAGAUAUAUGGAAGAACACCAGAGGCGAAAGCGGCUCUCUGGU